rnacentral:sRNA from 1 species
UAGAAUGAUGUGGGAGAUAUGGUGUUCAAAUAAAAGGUGUUAGCCACCCCUAAAAAUUAAGAGCAAAAUUACAAACUUAAUUACAAAAAGACACGGACCUAUAAUAACAUUUCACAGUAAAAGAAGUAAAAAUUGUCAUUAUCUACAUAAAGAGGCAUCCAACUUUAAUGGUGGCUAAAAAAUAAUUACAAAAUAUAUGAGUUUGUGUGACCAUCAGUUUGGAAAUUUAAAUGUUCCUUAAUACGGUCUCUAUGUUAUCAGAGGAAACCUGCUGUUUUGUGCAUGCUUGUAAGGAGUAUAAAUGGCCAAUUACCUUUUGAAAGAUAAUUUAAAAAUAUGUAUCAAGCGUGGAAAGACACAUGAUCUUACAUAAAGGAUUCUACCUCCCAGAAGGCAUCUCAUAAAACACUUGAGCAUCUGUGCAGAAAUCCCCAUACCUAGCAUGUUCUUGGUGGGCAUGUACAUAAUAGCAAAGAGAAAAAGAAAACAGAGUAAAAAGGAAGGUACACAUACAUGAAAAAUAUUUUUUACCAUCUUGAAUUUUUAAGAUGAUCAUCACUCAUUCAUAAAGGGCACAGGAGUAAAACAAGUCAGGGGAUCCACAAAGAGCAACUAAGCAGGAAACAAAGGGAAAAAAACACCUCAGAGCCACCAGAUUCUCUCAUUACUUUUCAGUUUUGCUGAUGCUUCAGUUCAUAUCUGCUGCACAAAUUCUGCAGUAGAAUCUUCCUUCCAAGAUUUUCUUGCUUGCUGAGUAAACUACGCUAAGUGUUUGUAUGUGUCUCAACUUUCUGUCACCACCCUGGGAAGGAACAGCAGGGGCACUGUCCUUGCUCAUAUUUUGCUGUGAGGAAAGCAAUGAAGGUCUUUUGAAUUUUG